GGGAGUAUAGCUCAGUUGGUAGAGCAUCUGCCUUACAAGCAGAAUGCCAGCGGUUCGAAUCCGUUUACUCCCA
rnacentral:tRNA from 2 species